CUUCUUCUCAAUAGUAUAUAUAUAUAUAUUAUUAUAACUGAAAAUCUAUUGCUUAUCAUAUGUACAGUGUGUUUUCUGUUGUUCAUUAAUAAUUUAAAAAUAAUUGUAAUAAUCAUACAAAUGGAUAUAUGUUCAUUUAUUAUGCCUACAUAAAUAUACAUUAAAAUAUAAUUGCAAUGUAAUAUAUCUUAAUAAUUACAUAAAUCUAAAUGUUUUAAAUAAUUAAGUCAUGCUUUUAAAUAAUGAAUAGUUUUCAAAGAAAAUGAUUUUUUUCUUAAAAUCUUGUCCUUUUGUACUUGCAUAUGGUUCUCAACCUUCUCCCCGCCCCACCCUGAUGAUCACAGGGUUAUGGGUGAGGGGGAUUCCCACUCCUGAAGUGGCGUCCAAAUGUGUCCCCCCACGACCUCUUCCCCCAUUUUCCUGUUUGAGGUGCACGCGAGUCUCAAUUUCAGAAAAGCGGAUUCUCCCAUUCUGGAUGAGAACGAGAAACUGGGAGGGUUGAAGUCAGGUGAGGCAUGGUUUAUCCACUUUGCCGGGAGAUUCUUGGGCUUGCAAAAGGUUUCCCCCCACGGCAUCGGUACAAACAUCAAGCUUUCUAAGUGUGUUUUUAGUUCAAUCCAAUGCUCAUAAAUUCAACAGUCCUGGGGUCUGCGGGCAGGUGCGCCGGACCCACCCCUCCCGCGCUGGAUGAGCCCACAGCCACACCUGGGAGCCCGCGCAAGGGGCCGAGGGCAGCGUGUCCUGGGCACGUCAUUCUGCGCAGCGGAGGCCGAGACUCCGCGCUCUGCGGUCAUCAGGAAGAAGCCGGACUCCUCUCCCCGCCGCUGGAAAGUGCUCCUGGAGACUCCGGGAGUACAUCUGGUCUAAACCGGACCGGAACGAGCGGGGACACUGAGGUUCAGAGCAGCAGAGCUGCUUCGGGUCAAGGCGAGCGGACAGGUGUUGGGGCGGAGAGAAGCAGGGCACCGGUCUGCCCCCAGCUCUCUCCACCCCCGCCAACAGCUUCUUUCUCCUCCUGCCCCACGGCCACCACCGGUGUGAGGUGACCCUGCCCGGCCUCAUGCCUGGACUGGAUCGGAGGGGAGCAAAACAAGCCUGCGAAGCAAAGGGGGGGCUGAGAGGGAACAGGGACGCACAUAGUACAGGGCGAGAAGGAAAAGGAAGGCGAAGCCCUCCGCUUUCGCACACUGCCUCCCCACGGCACAGGCAGAGGCGGUAAAUUUUGUGCAUUCUUUCUCGGGGCACGCGUGCGUCUACUCAGAAAAUGCCAUUUGCUAAAGGAAUUCACCACCUGUAUUCACUGAGCCUCCUCUAUGUGUAAUUAAAAACGAUUAAAUACAGAAAUUGGAUUUUUCCCCCUCCAGUUUAUAUCACUUACUGCGUCCUUCUCUGUAAUAGAGGCAGCGCUAGAUGCACGCGACUUUUUCCUCUUCCGCCUCCGUGCGCUGAUUGCAUUUCCGGGAUUCGCUUGAGUUAAUUGUGGUCAUGUGAUCGGGUUCCAGCCAAUGGGGUGUGAGAGGAAGGGAAGCCCGCUCGGGCUCUGGCGCCUAUAACCUGUCACUUUGUUUUACUUUCCAUGGCGACCUAGGAAGCGUGGGUUGAAGAGUUCCUAGGUUGGAAAGGAGCCUAGAUCCUGAAUCACUUCUUUUUGUGUGUGGCCUUUGAUAGGUGUACGUCCCUCCUCUGCCAGCAGGGAGCAAAUCAUUUAAUUUUUCUGUGCCUGGGUUUUUUCUCAUCUGCAAAUUGGGACUAUUGCUAGAAACUCCCUCUUAGAGCUAUUGGAGAUAUUAAGUGAGUUAAUAUCUGUAAAUCCCCUAUAAGAGUGUUCUGCUUACAGCAAGUACGACAUAAAGAAUGUUAAAUAAAAUAUUAAAAGCUCUCUAAAUGUUAUAUUAG
rnacentral:lncRNA from 1 species